rnacentral:rRNA from 1 species
GUCUACGGCCAUACCACCCUGAACACGCCCGAUCUCGUCUGAUCUCGGAAAAACAUUGCAGUUUUAAAAAAAAGAGAUACCAGGAUAUAAUUUAUGCUGGAAUUC